rnacentral:rRNA from 1 species
UGAACGCUGGCGGCAGGCCUAACACAUGCAAGUCGAGCGGUAGAGAGAAGCUUGCUUCUCUUGAGAGCGGCGGACGGGUGAGUAAUGCCUAGGAAUCUGCCUGGUAGUGGGGGAUAACGUUCGGAAACGGACGCUAAUACCGCAUACGUCCUACGGGAGAAAGCAGGGGACCUUCGGGCCUUGCGCUAUCAGAUGAGCCUAGGUCGGAUUAGCUAGUUGGUGAGGUAAUGGCUCACCAAGGCGACGAUCCGUAACUGGUCUGAGAGGAUGAUCAGUCACACUGGAACUGAGACACGGUCCAGACUCCUACGGGAGGCAGCAGUGGGGAAUAUUGGACAAUGGGCGAAAGCCUGAUCCAGCCAUGCCGCGUGUGUGAAGAAGGUCUUCGGAUUGUAAAGCACUUUAAGUUGGGAGGAAGGGCAGUUACCUAAUACGUGAUUGUUUUGACGUUACCGACAGAAUAAGCACCGGCUAACUCUGUGCCAGCAGCCGCGGUAAUACAGAGGGUGCAAGCGUUAAUCGGAAUUACUGGGCGUAAAGCGCGCGUAGGUGGUUUGUUAAGUUGGAUGUGAAAUCCCCGGGCUCAACCUGGGAACUGCAUUCAAAACUGACUGACUAGAGUAUGGUAGAGGGUGGUGGAAUUUCCUGUGUAGCGGUGAAAUGCGUAGAUAUAGGAAGGAACACCAGUGGCGAAGGCGACCACC